rnacentral:rRNA from 1 species
UACGUAGGGUCCGAGCGUUGUCCGGAAUUACUGGGCGUAAAGAGCUCGUAGGUGGUUUGUCGCGUUGUUCGUGAAAACUCACAGCUCAACUGUGGGCGUGCGGGCGAUACGGGCAGACUUGAGUACUGCAGGGGAGACUGGAAUUCCUGGUGUAGCGGUGGAAUGCGCAGAUAUCAGGAAGAACACCCGUGGCGAAGGCGGCUUUCUGGGACGGUACUGACGCUGAGACGCGAAAGCGUGGGGAGCGAACAGG